rnacentral:rRNA from 1 species
AUUGAACGCUGGCGGCAGGCUUAACACAUGCAAGUCGAGCGGGGUGAUGGUGCUUGCACUAUCACUUAGCGGCGGACGGGCGAGUAAUGCUUAGGAAUCUGCCUAUUAGUGGGGGACAACAUCUCGAAAGGGAUGCUAAUACCGCAUACGUCCUACGAGAGAAAGCAGGGGAUCACUUGUGACCUUGCGCUAAUAGAUGAGCCUAAGUCGGAUUAGCUAGUUGGUGGGGUAAAGGCCUACCAAGGCGACGAUCUGUAGCGGGUCUGAGAGGAUGAUCCGCCACACUGGGACUGAGACACGGCCCAGACUCCUACGGGAGGCAGCAGUGGGGAAUAUUGGACAAUGGGGGGAACCCUGAUCCAGCCAUGCCGCGUGUGUGAAGAAGGCCUUAUGGUUGUAAAGCACUUUAAGCGAGGAGGAGGCUCUUUUGGUUAAUACCCAAGAUGAGUGGACGUUACUCGCAGAAUAAGCACCGGCUAACUACGUGCCAGCCGCCGCGGUAA